rnacentral:rRNA from 1 species
UGCGUAGGUGGUUGUUUAAGUCUGUCGUGAAAGCCCUGGGCUCAACCUGGGAAUUGCGAUGGAUACUGGGCGACUAGAGUGUGGUAGAGGAUAGUGGAAUUUCCGGUGUAGCAGUGAAAUGCGUAGAGAUCGGAAGGAACAUCUGUGGCGAAGGCGACUAUCUGGGCCAACACUGACACUGAGGCACGAAAGCGUGGGGAGGCAAACA